ACAUGCCCCCCAUGACCAGAGAGGAAGGAGAAGAUGCAGUCCAGUUUGCUAACAGGGUUAAGUCUGCUAUUGCUAUACAAGGAGGCCUGACUGAACUUCCCUGGGAUGGAGGACUAAAGAGAGCAAAGGUGAAGGACAUCUUUAAGGAAGAGCAGCAGAAAAAUUACAGCAAGAUGAUUGUGGGCAAUGGAUCUCUCAGCUAAGAGGACGGAUGACAGCCUUUAGAUCUAGAACUAGCCCUUAGAAAUGGAAUGGCUUUUUUUGUUUUGUUUUGUUUUAUUGUUUUGUUUUUAUUAUUGUUAAUCUUUUCUACAGAAUGAUUGUCUCUACCUCUUUAUGCCAGAGGCAGAACCUACAGGUGCCCUUUUUGGCUUUUGUUGUUGUUGUAACAUUAGCCCCAUGGAUUGUAAGGUGGUUUACUGAGUUAAAACAGAUUCUGCUUUUGUAAAAUGAUGGCAUCACUGUGGACUGAAUGAAAUAUUUGUAUAGAAAAAAGUGCUUGAAAAGUGUGUUUGGAACUCAUCGAUAGGGUAAUUCUCCAAAAAUGCCCAAACUCUUUUUCUGUAAUUAGCCUUGCCACUUUCUUCAGUCACUUAAAUGGUGAGAUUACACAUCAGUGCAAGAUGACCAUUAUGGUUAUGGUCUACUGCAAGGUUGAAAGGAAAAAUGGAGGAUUGUAUUUAGGAAAAGGGACAACUUUGUGGCCACCUGCUCUGAAAGUCAAAAGGAAAUGUAAAUUAGUGUCAUUAGUGUGUUGGAAGAGAAAUACUAUUCAGUAAGCUUCGCCAAAGAAAAGUGAGUCAAAGUUAAUGUGUGUGCGCAUUUAUAUGUAGGCAGCUCGUAGACCACAUUUUAACCAGCAACUGGUAACAAAGAGCUUAGUUUUCCUUGUUUGAAUGCUGUAGAUCUGUACCUAGUACCCCUCCCAUCUACUGAUUUGUUUGUUUUUGUAACCAAACACAUUUUCAGAUAGAAGGAGCCUUAAAAAAAAAAAAUCACAUUGAGUAACUUCAGUAUGAAUGAAUGAGAGUGUGUGGAGCUACCCCUCACCCUCCACCCCUUUGUGCUUUUUAUUCCCGAAUUUUCCCAGUCUCUUAAACAGAAAAAUGACUGAUAUAAUUAUCUUUUGGAAACUGAGCCUUAAUUUUUUUUAGAGGGGGAAAUAAGUUUUCCCCAACUCACACAGCAUAAGCAAUGUUUGACAGCAAUAUAAUGCCGUUGUAAACUACUGAGAGUAUUGUAUCUGUUCUGGUAACCAUGUACAGAAUGUGAAACUGUCUUAUGAAUAUAAAUAAAUUCUAUAUUUCU
rnacentral:lncRNA from 1 species